UCCAAGAUGAAACCAAUCCGGAUGUAAAGUUCAUUCUGCCGAGAGCGCAUACAAUCGUGUGGAUAUUUCCGUUGCCUUCCUUCUGAUCUUUUGA
rnacentral:snoRNA from 1 species